AAAUCAAGUUCACAUACGAACCCAAAUCCGAAUCAAGUUCACAUUCGAACUCAAACCGAAUCAAGUUCACAUACAAACCAAAUCCGAACCAAAUCCACAUACAAACCAAAUCCAAAUCAAGUUCACAUACGAACCCAAAUCCGAAUCAAGUUCACAUUCGAACUCAAACCGAAUCAAGUUCACAUACAAACCAAAUCCGAACCAAAUCCACAUACAAACCAAAUCCAAAUCAAGUUCACAUACGAACCCAAAUCCGAAUCAAGUUCACAUUCGAACUCAAACUGAAUCAAGUUCACAUUCGAACCCAAACCAAACCAAGUCCACAUACAAACCCAAACCUAAAGCCAUAAAACCCAAACCCAAAUCAAAUCUUCUAGUCCACAAAUAAAACCCAAACCUAAAGCAUAAAACCCAAAACCCAAAACCCAAAUCAAAUCCAACCAAAAAUCCGAAGCCUAAACCCAAACCCAAACAAAAAAUCAAAACCCAAACCAAAAAUCCAAAUCAAAUCCCCAAACCAAAUCAAGUCGACAAAUAAAGCCAAAACCCAAACCCAAACCCAAACCAAGUCCACAAAUCAAACUUAAACCCAAACCCAACUCAAACCAAGUCCACAACCCAAAUUCAAAACCCAAAUAAAAUCCAAACCCAACCCAAACCAAGUCCACAUAAGAACCCAAAUCGGGACUCAAAUCGAAACCAAAUCCACAAAUAAAAUUCAAACCCAACCCAAACCAAGUCCACAUAAGGACCCAAAUCCGAAUCAAGUCCACUAACAAAGCCGAAACUUGAACCCAAAUCCAUAAUCCAAGUCCACAAAUCAAAUCCAAACCCAAAUCAAAUACAGUCCACAAAUGAGCCCAAAACAAAUCCAGUCCACAAAUAAAAUUCCAAACUCAAAUCCAAUCCGGAUCACAAAUAGAACCAAAACCCGACUUCCAACUUGGAUUCAUAUCCUAGUUCAUGAACCAAGUCCAUUAACCAUAAACUACGUUCAUGAACCAAAUGAAUCAAGUUCAUGAACCAUAAACCAAGUUCACAUACCUAAUUCAUUAACCAUAUACCAAACCUCAUGAACUAUGAAACAAAUCCCAUAACCAAACCUCAUGGACCAAAUCCCAUGAACCAUAUACCAAACCUCAUGAUCCAUAUCCAAAUCCCAUGAACCAUACCUAAGUUCAUGAACCAUAAACCAAACCUAAUGAACUAUGAACCAAAUCCCAUAUACCAAACCCCAUGAACCAUACCCAAGUUUAUGAACCACAUCAUACCCAAGUUCAUGAACCAUACUCAAGUUCGUGAACCAAACCCCAAAUGCUAUACCCAAGUUCAUGAAUCAAAUCUUAUGAACCAUACACCAAGUCCAUGAAUCGUACACUAAGAACUAUACCCAAGUUUAUGAACCAAACAAACCUAACCCCAUGAACAAUGCAUGAACCAAGUUCAUGAAUCAUGAACCAUGAACCAAGUUCAUGAAGCUUACCCAAGUUCGUGAACCAAAUCUCAUAAACCAUACACCACGUCCUAUGAGCCAUAAAUCAAAUCCAUGAACCAUACACCACAUUUCAUCCUAUGAGCCAUACACCAAAUCCUAUCCAAAUCUCAUGAACCACAUGAGCUAUAUCUUAACCUCAUGAACUGAAUCAUGUUCAAAUCCUAUAUACCCAAAUCUCAUGAACCAUACAUCAAGUUCAUAAAUCUCAUCCAUGAACCAUAUCCAAGUUCAUGAACCAAAUCCCUUACACCAAACCUCAUGAACCAUAAACCACAACCCAAGCCCAUGGACCAAAUCCCAUGGACCAUAUACCCAACCUC
rnacentral:lncRNA from 1 species